rnacentral:rRNA from 1 species
CCAAUAGCGUAUAUUAAAGUUGUUGCAGUUAAAAAGCUCGUAGUUGAAUUUCGGGAUCAGUAGGUUGGUCGUGCCACCGGUACGUACUGGUCUCACUGGUUCCUCCUUCCUGAGGAACUGUAAUGCCAUUCAUUUGGUGUUGCGGGGAAUCUGGACUGUUACUUUGAAAAAAUUAGAGUGUUUAAAGCAGGCUAACGCUUGAAUACAUUAGCAUGGAAUAAUGAAAUAGGACGUUCGAUCCUAUUUUGUUGGUUUCUAGGAUUGACGUAAUGAUUAAUAGGGAUAGUUGGGGGCAUUAGUAUUCAAUUGUCAGAGGUGAAAUUCUUGGAUUUAUUGAAGACUAACUACUGCGAAAGCAUUUGCCAAGGAUGUUUUCAUUAAUCAAGAACGAAAGUUAGGGGAUCGAAGACGAUCAGAUACCGUCGUAGUCUUAACCAUAAACUAUGCCGACUAGGGAUCGGAUGAUGUUAAUUUUUUAAUGACUCAUUCGGCGCCUUACG